AGCACAUCACACAAGUGAGUGAUGAGGAAGAGGAUGAUGAUGGCUGUGACCUUUUUGCUGACUCUGAGAAGGAGGAGAAAGAUAUUGAGGACAUUGAAGAAAAUACUAGACCUAAAAGAAGCAGACCUACAUCGUUUGCAGAUGAGCUGGCUGCCCGCAUCAAGGGGGAUGCCGUGGGCCGAGUGGACGAGGAGCCGACAACCUUACCCUCAGGAGAAGCAAAACUUCGGAAGACACUCAAGAGAAGAAGGAAAGGAGAACUCCUUCGGACGAUGAAGAGGAUAACUUAUUCGCACCCCCCAAGCUGACCGACGAGGACUUCUCGCCAUUUGGCUCUGGAGGUGGCCUGUUCAGUGGGGGCAAGGGGCUCUUUGAUGAUGAGGACGAGGAGAGUGACCUCUUCACGGAAGCCCCCCAGGAUCGGCAAGCUGGAGCCUCUGUUAAGGAGGAGUCUUCAUCAUCCAAACCUGGAAAGAAAAUCCUAGCAGGAGCUGUUUCUGUAUUUUUAGGAGACACGGAUGUGCUGCCUCCGUUCCAUCACUGAAGGAGCCACAGAAGCCUGAGCAGCCCACUCCAAGGAAAAGCCCCUAUGGUCCCCCUCCCACUGGCCUGUUUGAUGAUGAUGAUGGUGAUGAUGAUAACGACUUUUUCUCGACACCCCACAGCAAACCUUCCAAAACAGGCAAAGUCCAAUCCACUGCUGAUAUCUUUGGUGAUGAAGAAGGAGAUCUGUUCAAAGAAAAAGCCGUAGCAUCGCCAGAAGCCACGGUGAGUCAGACAGAUGAAAAUAAAGCAAGAGCAGAAAAAAAGGUUACCUUACCUUCCAGCAAAAAUCUCAAGCCCUCGUCAGAAACAAACACUCAAAAAGGCUUAUUUUAGGAUCAGGAGGACUCUGAGGAUUUGUUUUCUUCUCAAAGUGCGAGUAACUUAAAAGGUGCGUCUCUGCUGCCUGGCAAGCUCCCCACGUCGGUUUCCCUGUUUGAUGAUGAAGAUGAAGAGGAUAAUCUUUUUGGGGGUACAGCUGCUAAGAAGCAGACAUUGUCUCUACAAGCUCAAAGACAAGAGAAAGCAAAAGCCUCCAAGCUCUCCAAAAAGAAAGCAUCUGCCCUGUUGUUCAGCAGUGAUGAGGAG
rnacentral:lncRNA from 1 species